rnacentral:rRNA from 1 species
GACGAACGCUGGCGGCGUGCCUAAUACAUGCAAGUCGAGCGGAAGUUGAAGAGCUUGCUCUUCAACUUUAGCGGCGGACGGGUGAGUAACACGUGGGCAACCUGCCCUGCAGAUCGGGAUAACUCCGGGAAACCGGUGCUAAUACCGAAUAGUUUUCGCCACCUCCUGGUGGCGUACGGAAAGACGGUUUCGGCUGUCACUGCAGGAUGGGCCCGCGGCGCAUUAGCUAGUUGGUGGGGUAACGGCCCACCAAGGCAACGAUGCGUAGCCGACCUGGGAGGGUGAUCGGCCACACUGGGACUGAGACACGGCCCAGACUCCUACGGGAGGCAGCAGUAGGGAAUCUUCCGCAAUGGACGAAAGUCUGACGGAGCAACGCCGCGUGAGUGACGAAGGUUUUCGGAUCGUAAAACUCUGUUGUGAGGGAAGAACAAGUACCACUUAACUACUGGUACCUUGACGGUACCUCACCAGAAAGCCACGGCUAACUACGUGCCAGCCGCCGCGGUAACAC